rnacentral:rRNA from 1 species
UACGUAGGGAGCAAGCGUUGUCCGGAAUCAUUGGGCGUAAAGAGCGUGUAGGCGGUCCGGUAAGUCCGUUGUGAAAGUCGAGGGCUCAACCCUCGAAUGCCGGCGGAUACUGUCGGACUAGAGUCCGGAAGAGGCGAGUGGAAUUCCUGGUGUAGCGGUGAAAUGCGCAGAUAUCAGGAGGAACACCGAUGGCGAAGGCAGCUCGCUGGGCCAUAACUGACGCUGAGAAGCGAAAGCAUGGGGAGCGAACAGG